rnacentral:rRNA from 1 species
AACGAACGCUGGCGGCAGGCCUAACACAUGCAAGUCGAACGCUCUAGCAAUAGAGAGUGGCAGACGGGUGAGUAACGCGUGGGAACCUUCCCAAUGGUGCAGAAUAGCCCAGGGAAACUUGGGGUAAUACUGCAUAAGCCCUUCGGGGGAAAGAUUUAUCGCCAUUGGAUGGGCCCGCGUCGGAUUAGCUAGUUGGUGAGGUAAUGGCUCACCAAGGCAACGAUCCGUAGCUGGUUUGAGAGAAUGACCAGCCAAACUGGGACUGAGACACGGCCCAGACUCCUACGGGAGGCAGCAGUGGGGAAUCUUGGACAAUGGGCGCAAGCCUGAUCCAGCCAUGCCGCGUGAGUGACGAAGGCCUUAGGGUUGUAAAGCUCUUUUGCCGGGGACGAUAAUGACGGUACCCGGAGAAUAAGUCCCGGCUAACUUCGUGCCAGCCGCCGCCGUAA